AGAACGAACGCUGGCGGCAGGCCUAAAACAUGCAAGUCGAACGCUCUAGCAAUAGAGAGUGGCGCACGGGUGCGUAACAUGUGGGAAUAUGCCUUUUGGUACGGAACAACUUUUGGAAACGAAAGCUAAUACCGUAUGGUCCCUUCGGGGUAAAGAUUUAUCGCCAAAAGAGUAGCCCGCACUGGAUUAGCUAGUUGGUGAGGUAAUGGCUCACCAAGGCGACGAUCCAUAGCUGGUCUGAGAGGACGAUCAGCCACACUGGGACUGAGACACGGCCCAGACUCCUACGGGAGGCAGCAGUUAGGAAUCUUGGACAAUGGGCGCAAGCCUGAUCCAGCCAUGCCGCGUGAGUGAUGAAGGUCUUAGGAUUGUAAAAUUCUUUCAGCGGGGAAGAUAAUGACUGUACCCGCAGAAGAAGCUCCGGCUAACUUCGUGCCAGCAGCCGC
rnacentral:rRNA from 1 species